rnacentral:rRNA from 1 species
CAGCCGCCGCGGGAAAACGUAGGUGGCAAGCGUUGUCCGGAAUUAUUGGGCGUAAAGGGCUCGCAGGCGGUUUCUUAAGUCUGAUGUGAAAGCCCCCGGCUCAACCGGGGAGGGUCAUUGGAAACUGGGAAACUUGAGUGCAGAAGAGGAGAGUGGAAUUCCACGUGUAGCGGUGAAAUGCGUAGAGAUGUGGAGGAACAUCAGUGGCGAAGGCGACUCUCCGGUCUGUAACUGACGCUGAGGAGCGAAAGCGUGGGGAGCGAACAGGAUUAGAUACCCCAGUAGUCCCUGUCUCUUAUAC